ACAUCUGCGUCAGCAUGGCGCAGCGCAAAGAGGUCAUCCGCCACACCAGUAGUUGUGAAGCCCCUGCCGGACGUGCUGCCAGAGAAGCCCAACGCCAACGGGCCUCAAUGUUAACUUAAGCAUGGUCGGGCCUUCUCCCAGAGAUAUGACAAUAAGUUGUUUCUGAGCCUUCACUAGCAGGAAUUUGCCGCCAUCUGGGAAGGUGCCUCGUUCUCUUCGAUUCUCUUUCUUCGAGAGGAGACACCUUGAUGCAGGGACUAUCCCCGAGAUCAUUUUGUUCACUAUGUAAUGCUUAACAGUUGAGACCGAUUUGGAGUUUGGAACACAUCUAUAAGUUGAUAGCUAUUUU